UGGCUGUCUUUAGGAUGCAAUGAUGCAA
rnacentral:piRNA from 1 species